GCCAUAUCAUGUUGAACACAACGGUUUUCGUCCGAUCACCGAAGUUAAGCAACGUCGAGCCUGAUCAGUGCUUAGAUGGAUGACCGCUUGGGAAUGCAAAGUGCUGUAA